ensembl:lncRNA
AUUUUCAGAGUGGCGGAGUGUUUCUCAGAAUUUCUGAUUGGUCCGUCUGUUGUUAACAGGGAAAUAAUGGAUUCAGAGGCAUCAUUGGUGUCCCUGGCUACACAGGGCUGCCGGGAGCAAGGGGUCCUCCUGGUUUUCCAGGAUUAUCAGGAUUUACGGGAGAGAUUGGAUCUGAAGGCUUUGGUGGACGACCAGGUCCACCUGUAAGUUUUAUUAGCACAAUAUUUUAUUGCAAUGUCUUCAAUAAAUUAAUAAAACAAAGAUGGUGGAUUAAAUAAUGAGAUAUGAUGGGCAUUUAUUAUGUGCUGCUCAGGGUAAAAUGGGUCCAUGGGGAUUAAAAGGUGUCCUUGGAGUUAACGGACCUCCGGGUCAUCAAGGUGAACUGGGCCCAAGAGGAGCAGCUGGACCACAGGGCGAGCAUGGUCCUGAUGGAGCAGUCUCUUCUCCCGGUGUCCGUGGCCCUCAGGGCAAUCCAGGACCAGAUGGACCUCCAGGUCCUAAAGGAGACCCUGGCAAUCCAGGAGAUGAAGGGGACAUUGGGGACCC